AACUCGCGGUGGGGCUGCUGGUUCUUCCAGGAGCGCGCAUGAGCGGACGCUGCCUACGGGUGGCCGGGCGGGAUGUAACCGGCUGCUGAGCUGGCAGUUCUGUGUCGCUAGGCUUCUGCCCGGCCGCCGCCGCACAUAAGCUGCGAGGAGGAGCUUUACGACUUCCCGGUCUUCGGGGCCGGGCGCAGCAAGGGCCAGACUCUGCGCUAGCAGGCGCUGCGCGCCAACCGGCCGGCACCUGUCGCAGAAGGUGCAACCGAUCGCACUGUCGCGCAGAAGCUCCUCAAUGGCCAGCGCCAGCUGCAGCCCCGGCCGCCCACUCGCCUCAUCUGAGCCUGGGUGGAACAAUCCAAAGUUUUAAUCAGAGAAGGUGGUGUUCAGUUGCUGCUUACAAUAGUUGAUACCCCAGUAUUUGGAGAUGCAGUGGAUAACAGUAAUUGGUAAAAAGGAUUUGUCCUCACAACUUUCCAGUGUAUUUGGGGUACUGGGGUGGUUAAACUUUCUCUUCUUAACAUUUUAAAACUCUUCUUAGCAAAGGUCACCAAACUUCAAGUAACAUGACAGGUUUGUAUACCAACUUUGCCACUUAUUUGACAAAGUUUAACUUCAAAGUUAAACAAAGAAGUUUAACUUCUUUGAACCCAUUUACUUUUUGAUAAAAUGGAGAUAAUACCUAUCAUAAAAUUGUUUUGAAGACAUAUUCCAAAAUAACGUAGCUAGAUAGAAGAAUUCUCAUUAUUGGAAGAAAUUUAAAAUGCUUUGCUUUAAUUUUAUCCAUUUGUAUAAAUUCUAUCACAAUCCUAAUUUAAACCUGAUAUUUAGACCUUCAGUUUUUCCAUAAGUCCUAAGUGAAGAAAACAACUAUGAAAUUUUAGUCUGAAGUAAUUAUCUUAGUAUUUUAUAAAUAACUUUAAUUUUGUUUGAAUUCACAUUGUUUUUGAGGUAUUUUUCUGUCAACUCUUAAAACUCCUAAGUUCAUCAUGAAGUUUUUAUAUUAUUUAAGUAAUCUCUCAUUUGAAAUUUGAAACUGAAUAUAAUCGUUUUCAUAUUAUGAAGUGUGUUAUUAAUACACUUACUAGUGCCAAUAGUAUGCUAAUAAUUUAGCUGUGUUUCAACAAUAAAUAUUUUCUUUCAUUUGGAAAGUUUUGAAAUAAUGAAUAAAGAUUUAUUCAACACAAUUUAUAUUUUUGAAUCUUUAUAUAGAAUAACUUGACAUAUCUUCCAUUGGUUAAUUCAUUUUGCCUAUUUGAAAAUAUUGAUUAUUGUCCUUUAACAGUCAUCAGUUAAUUCAUAUGUAGAAUUGCAACUUAAUUGUUUUGUUUAUUUGCAUUCUAUAGCUGGCAGCCUGCUAUCAAUUACAUUGAUAGUAAAUUUGAGGACUACCUAAAUGCAGAAUCGCAAGUGAACAGAUGUCAGAUGCCUGGUAACAGGGUGCAGUGUUGUUUAUACUUCAUUGCUCCUUCAGGACAUGGACCAUUACAUAACUGAAGACUCCCACCUUCAGGCAGGUUUGGGUAGUACACGUUUGUAACUACCUGGCAUUGCCUUUUGUUGAAGUAAUUUCAGUUUUUAUUAGUAGUAGUAGUAGUAUACUUUAAGUUCUACAGUAUAUGUUCACAAUGUGCAGGUU
rnacentral:lncRNA from 1 species